GGCAGUAUUUACUGGGCAGAAAUGAAAAAGCUGAAAUCUGGUACUGGAAAGAAAGGGAAAGAGGAUGCAUGUGAGAAGACACCAGAGUAUGUCUGGCACAUGGUCUGGAAAUGAAGCAGAAGCAGCUCCAGUAUCCUGCAGUGUUGGUGGCAAUGUUUUCCGUUUGUUUACAGCCUGAGAGGUGCUGCAGCAGAAAAGCAGAUCUGCUUCCUCAAAGACUGUCACACCCAUCUGGAGAACAGAGGCAUUGACCUAUGGGUUUAACUCGCUGUUAGCCUCCUGCAUCUCCCAGGAAGAAGUCUUCAUCUCUUUUAACUUGAUGCUCUUACCUCUUGCCCAAACAACAGGUUUCUCAAGGCUAGUUCUUGAGCCACAUGAGAAACAUGAAAUAGUUUAAUGCAAAAUACAGUCAUCCUCCUUUUUAACUAUACCAAUGAAAUGGCUUUGAAGAUGAUGUUUUGCAAGUGCUAAUUAAUAGGACUGUCAUUGUGACUCCACAUUGCUACUGCAGAGGAAUCAGGCUGUUGGGUGCCAUGUGUCUCUGAAGAUGCACAGCUUGCCCUGGUUGCAAUGUUUUUUUUUUUUAUUGAGCAUCUUGCUCUCAGCUGCUACUAGAAGCAGGAAACAUCACGAAGCUGGGAUGAGCUGAUACAGUUUGUUCCUUGGAUUGCUUUCCAUCUAUUCCUGCGAUGCUGCAGGUAUUGCAGCAGCUCUUGGAGGGGAGCUGGCUGCCUUACCUGACUAAGGGCUGAAACAGUUGCAGGACUGUGACUUCAGGAACAAGCACCAGCCAAGCAAGGUAGAGGAGGUUUGGACAGGAGUACUUCAGUCUAGGGCCUAGGCUUCACCUCCAAGCACACUGACCUCAGGAAAGUCCAUUACUGCUUCUCUCUCACCUGUGGACCCAGCAGAAAUUGUUGGACUUUGGGACCACACUGUACAGCCUUUAUCAAGUGUGGUCUUUGCACAUCCCCGCUGGUAUGGGAUAUGAAGAGCUUUGUUUUCCUGCAACCCAAAAAUGCCAACUUUUUAAAAAUAUCUGGAAAUAAACAGUUAUAUGAUCCACUGAAAUUCAUAACAAAGGACAAAUUGAAUCCUUCAUGCUGUGUAGCAGCCAUAAAUAAAGGUUUUAUGGCUGAGAAGUUGUAGGCAAUGUUCCAGCAAAAUUGGAUUUAUUCCCUCCCCACCCCCUGCAAUAUAAAUCUCUGGAAAUGGGGGUUCCAAGGGCAGUUCUGACACUACAUUAACUGCAGCUUCUUAAACCAGACUCCCUGCCAGUAUUUAUAGUCCACGUUCUGCUCAUGGUAUGUGUGUAUAUUGCUGCACCAGCUCUUACAGUUGAUUUCUCAGUAGUCAUGUGAAACCAAAACAACUGAUGGGCUGAACUUGAAAUUGCUUGUGCAUUUCUUCAAUUAAAAGAAAAAGGGGGGGGGGGGAAGGGAGGGGGAUCUGUCUUUUUAUUAGAAAAAAGAUCUCUUCACAUUCCUCCCAGAUUCCUCCCAGUCAGCAGUGGCUCAACCUCCGUGAGUGUUAUUCCCUUCUUCUCAAGACCACUGGCCAGGUUUGUAGGAGAACCCUGAGAGACUUUAUUGGCUGGUUGUACAGUCACAACGUGAGUAACUGUGCACUUCUCACAAAUGCCUGGUCCCACCUCUGCUUGCUGUCUGCUCAGAGAUUUAGCCCUGAGACUUCAUAAAAUAAGGUCUUGGAGUAACCAAGUCCUAAAACUGAAGUCCAGCCAGGUGGUUCCCUGUUAAGGAAGAACAAUGCAAUGCACUGGAUUUAAGAGCUAGAUUUUAGCUUCAGGAUCCAAGUACUGGGAUCCAAGUACUGGUCAGUGGUGCCAGCAGAUCACUGAGAAGUGAAUAAAGAAACUGGGAACAAAACUCUUCAUUUGUCUGUUUUGGGGUAGUGGAGUACGUUGGUUUGUGCUGCCUUCUUGUGUGCAUAGCAUCUAGUCAAAGAUGGAAUCUGCAAUGAGGAAUUUGUUCUCGUUAAGCAAUUGCCCAAAUAUCUUCUUUGCGAGGCUGACUAGUGCUUCUGCACAAGUGAGACAGAUGUAGAGCCAGUGACCUCUCUGCUCUUGUCUACAGCUUGUUACGAACGCUGAACAAAAUGGCUUAAAUUGUUGGGACUUGAGAAAAGAUAUCUUUGAGCUCUGACCCUUCAUAACAGAAUCCAGACACCGAACCUUGCUUCCAUGUAUUUCAUAUGAAGCACCUGACACAGCAGCAACAAAUAACGCCGGAGUAAAUCCAGCAGCCAGGAGCAGUUUGCCUUCAUUAGCCAAGGCAAAGGUCACGCUGCUGGUGUCACCGCUGGUGUCUGGCCACUACUGGGGUUGUCGCCUGCCUCAGGCCUUAGCGGAGAGCUUGUGCAAGGGAGGUGAGGGGCAGGAACAGGGCUAAAAGGCUCCUGAUACCCCUAACGGGCCUUUUUGUACCCUGCAGCUGCAGUAACUUCCCAAACCUGAAUGUGCUGACUUGGAAAUUUAGCAUCAGCCUCAAGUUCUGGAUGUGAGCUACAGGUACUGACGUGCUGAAGCAUGACAGAUCUGAGGUCCAGGCAUCCCCUUCCUUUUUCUCCUAAGAGAUGCCUAAAAUAAGACCAUUAGGCCAAAGUUAUCAGCAGCCCAGAGCUGUUAACUCUGCAGUCCCUUCAGCUCCCAGUUCAGAAAGGGUAAGUGCAUGUUUCUAAUUACGUGGCUGCUGCAGCGAAUACAGCCGCUCGCCCCCCAGCCCCAGACACAAACGCUCCAUUCCCCAAAUUACUGCUGACUGCCUGGGAUUGGGUUUUAUUGCAGACAAGCAAAGCCAAUUUUUGGGGGGUGAGGUUAAUUCAAGCAGCCCCCUCUAUAGAGCUUUAUCCUGCAAAUGGUUAAAUGCUUAACUAUGCAAAAUGGUCUAAAAUUAAAGUGUGAAGCUACGUUUCUAAGGGUUUGUGGCACUGAGACUUGAAGUUCCUUUUUCUCCCCUAGUUUCCACCAUACUUUUCUCUGGAAGACAAGCUGAUAACCAUAAGCCCAAGCUUCAGAUGUCUAAAGACUGCACUUUCUUCAUUGAUGGAAUUAAUCCAACCAUCAGGCGGCAAACAUCACGGUAUCAAAAUAAGUCUCAAAAUGUUAAAAUUCAGUCCUCACCUAUUGCCUGGUCAGUGAACAGGCCCUGUGGAAACAGCGGUGUGCAUGUUGGGAAGCAAACCAGUGUUACGACAAACGUGUUACGACAAACUUCUGAUCUUCCUUACUGCUGACUUAGGAGUAUGAAUUCUACUGCGUUAAGCAGAAGGGAAUAGAUAUUUUUUUUAUUUAAAACAGAGUAACUCGAAGUGGUCGUAAUAGCCCAUGUUGCUUUUGUGCUGAGGUAAUGAAUGACUGUAGUAUAAAGUGGUCCUAGUUUUUGCCUCAAGCUCUUGUCAAUCAUUACCUGAUAAAUAAAAACUUCAAACAGGCUCCUUUUAAUGUAAUUGGGUAGAAUUUCUCUCCGAAGGAAGGCUGAAUACAGUGAAUAAUGUGUUUGUGGCAGCAGUAGAAGUCAGCAAGUGAGGUAUUUGGAUGGAAACCUACAGAGGAUGCAAAUCCUGAAUUCAAAAGAUGAGUCUUUUUAGUUUUACUGCAUCCAGAAGCUUCUGUUCCCAUCGUUGGCAGAGCUGAAUGGAUUGAACAGAGCUGUAGAGGAAAUCCUGUGGUCCUUGGCACCACCGCUGAGUUCUGCUUGUGCUAGCCCUGCUCUCCCUCCCUGUUUUUAGGCUUUACAGCUGACACUUCCAUAAAAAAUCAGAAAUCUUAAGAUUACACUAAAGCUCACUUAAAUCAUUAUCUUUUAUUAUAUGAACCUUGGCAGCAGCAGAGGCAGUUUCCUGUGUAAGGACCAAGGGUCCUAUUGUCAGCACUGGAACAGAACUAAAACAGCUCAAUUAAGCAAACAUAACAUCCUCAAAGUUUGGCCUGAAAGAAGUUAAAAUAACUGAUCUACGAAAUGUUAUAAAUGUGCUUUAAGAUGUCAUUACUCAGAUAAAUCUAGCAGUUUUGAAGCUGGCUCACUCCAGUUUUAUGGCCCUGCCCGUUAAUGGCUGCGUACGUAUUCAUGUCAAGAAUUCCUCUUCCAAAACAGUAGAUGAAGAGACAAAGCCACAGUAGCGCUGCGGACUGACGGGAGGCUGCGAGGAACUUGGGAACAGAGUUUUGGCUCCCGGGCUGGGAAAGCUGCUACAGAGCAUAUCCAGCAAAUUGUGUGUGUUUGUGGCAGGGCUGGAAACCAACUGGUAUUUCACGACGUAAGGCUGGAUGUGUUGAAGUCAGUGGUAAAGCUGCUCUUGGCUGCUCUAUAGUAACUCUAUAGUAAGACUGGUGCUGCAAGGCACAAUGAUUUCUUAUUUUUCUUCCCCUUGCUGGAACCACCUCUGACUUAAAGUGGGCUUAAAUGUGGAGGAUUUGGUCCGUACUGAGAAAUACCAGAAGGCCCUCCUCCUCAAACUAGUCUAGACGUACAGAGUCUGGACAGACUUCAGUUAGGGCAAUAAGGCCUUUCCACUGACACUUUGCUGGACUUUGGAUCAGCGCAUCAAACAUUUCCUUAUGAUCUGUAAUCACUUGUGAAGGAUGGCAGUGCAGCUUCAGAAAGCUGAUGAUUUAAGUCGCUGGAUCUGCAAAGGCAUUUAUGUAAAUUGGCACGACUCUGCUCACAGUUCAAAGUAAACAAGAACCCCAAAAUUGCUGUUAUGCCCCGAAGAUGUAAUGUUUAGUUAAUACAGGGAUUUAGACCAUUAUUUUUUUCAGCUGCCUCCAUA